rnacentral:rRNA from 1 species
AUUGAACGCUGGCGGCAGGCCUAACACAUGCAAGUCGAACGAGUCGCGGACGUGUGAGUUAUGUCUGGGAAUCUGCCUGAUGGAGGGGGAACACCACUGGACACUGUCGCUAACACCGUAUUACAUCAGCUGUGCCCAGAUGGGUAUAGCUAGUUGGUGGGGUAACGGCUCACAAGGGCGACGAUCCCUAGCUGGUCUGAGAGGAUGACCAGCCACACUGGAACUGAGACACGGUCCAGACUCCUACGGGAGGCAGCAGUGGGGAAUAUUGCACAAUGGGCGAAAGCCUGAUGCAGCCAUGCCGCGUGUAUGAAGAAGGCCUUCGGGUUGUAAAGUACUUUCAGCGGGGAGGCGUUACCGACAGAAGAAGCACCGGCUAACUCCGUGCCAGCAGCCGCGGUAAUAC